CAGGCUGCAACUCGCCUGCAUGAAGUCGGAAUUGCUAGUAAUCGUAGGUCAGCAUACCACGGUGAAUACGUUCCCGGGCCCUUGUACACACCGCCCGUCAAACCAUGAGAGUUGGCAACACCCGAAGUCGGUAGUCUAACCGCAAGGAGGACGCCGCCGAAGGUGGGGUUGAUGAUUAGGGUUAAGUCGUAACAAGGUAUC
rnacentral:rRNA from 1 species